CAGCCGCCACGGUAAUACGAGGGGGGCAAGCGUUGUUCGGAAUUAUUGGGCGUAAAGGGCGCGUAGGCGGUUUGGCAAGUUUGGUGUGAAAUCUUCGGGCUCAACUCGAAGUCUGCAUCGAAAACUGCCGGGCUUGAGUAUGGGAGAGGUGAGUGGAAUUUCCGGUGUAGCGGUGAAAUGCGUAGAUAUCGGAAGGAACACCUGUGGCGAAAGCGGCUCACUGGACCAUAACUGACGCUGAGGCGCGAAAGCUAGGGGAGCAAACAGGAUUAGAUACCCGCGUAGUCCCUGUCUCUUAUAC
rnacentral:rRNA from 1 species